rnacentral:tRNA from 5 species
CGCGGGAUGGAGCAGUUCGGUAGCUCGUCGGGCUCAUAACCCGAAGGUCGCAGGUUCAAAUCCUGCUCCCGCAACCA